UACGGGGGGGGCAAGCGUUGUUCGGAAUUACUGGGCGUAAAGGGUUCGUAGGUGGCCAACUAAGUCAGACGUGAAAUCCCUCGGCUUAACCGGGGAACUGCGUCUGAUACUGGAUGGCUUGAGUUCGGGAGAGGGAUGCGGAAUUCCAGGUGUAGCGGUGAAAUGCGUAGAUAUCUGGAGGAACACCGGUGGCGAAGGCGGCAUCCUGGACCGACACUGACGCUGAGGAGCGAAAGCCAGGGGAGCAAACGGG
rnacentral:rRNA from 1 species